GACGAAGGAUGCAAGCGUUAUCCGGAUUCAUUGGGUUUAAAGGGAGCGUAGGUGGUCUUAUAAGUCAGUGGUGAAAUCUCGCAGCUUAACUGCGAAACUGCCAUUGAUACUCUAGGACUUGAGUAUAGUUGCUGUGGGCGGAAUAUGACAUGUAGUGGUGAAAUACUUAGAGAUGUCAUAGAACACCGAUUGCGAAGGCAGCUCACAAAACUAUAACUGACACUGAGGCUCGAAAGUGCGGGGAUCAAACAGG
rnacentral:rRNA from 1 species